rnacentral:lncRNA from 1 species
GCUGCAGUUACCUCAGCCAAGGUUAAACCAUUGCAGAUAGCUUUCUCACCUGUCCAGCUUUACCUUUUUUCUAAGUGGAGCCUUGUUGAUACAGUUGUUAUUGUUUGGAUCACCUACAGCUGAAGGUGAGAACAUCAUCCUCAGCUGAGAUGGGAGUGGGAAAAACUUAGAUUGUGAAAGGUUGAGAGAUAAAUGAAAACACUCUGGCUUUUAUUUAAACUUUUUUUAGUUGUCAGGGUAAAAGAGAGGCUACCAAUGAGAAAAUAAAAGCAACCGGUGUUGUCAUCAUUAAAUUCAUCAUUUGUAGAAACACUGGUGGAUGUGAACAUGAUGCUGAGUACUGCACAAGCCAGAUGGAAAGUGGACUUUUCAUAGAACACUCCUCAUCCCAGAAAGCAGAGACGUAUAGUGACUGAUCCGUCAAAUGGAGCUUCAGAGGAACCGUCUGAUGUUUGCAACAGUCCACAUUCUUUGUCCAUCACUCAACCAGAGUUAGGCACAUAAGACAGAUGUGGUAUAAGCUUUUGCUUCAUUUCCACGUUAGACAAGGCAUUGAAGACAUUGAUGUCAUUGUUAACUGUUACUCCAAAACAGACUGGAAAACUUUCCUGUACAGAUCUCAUCUGUUUAGCCCAUGCAAAUGAGCGGCAAGCUUAACACAGGUGGGGACAUCAAUGAGACUAAAACAAGGAGCAACACUUAUCAUAGGAAAGUUAUUCAGUGUACCUGCUAGACUGGUUCUUAGAUUACGCAUAUGGA